AGUUUGAUCCUGGCUCAGGAUGAACGCUAGCGGGAGGCUUAACACAUGCAAGUCGAACGGUAACAGGUCCUUCGGGACGCUGACGAGUGGCGCACGGGUGAGUAACGCGUAUGCAACCUGCCCUGUACAGGGGGAUAGCCCGGAGAAAUCCGGAUUAAUACCCCAUAGUUUUUAUGAGUCGCAUGGCUUAUAAAAUAAAGCUUCGGCGGUACAGGAUGGACAUGCGUGGCAUUAGCUUGUUGGUARGGUAACGGCUUACCAAGGCGACGAUGCCUAGGGGUUCUGAGAGGAUGAUCCCCCACACUGGGACUGAGACACGGCCCAGACUCCUACGGGAGGCAGCAGUGAGGAAUAUUGGUCAAUGGGCGAG
rnacentral:rRNA from 1 species